UACGUAGGGUGCGAGCGUUGUCCGGAAUUACUGGGCGUAAAGAGCUCGUAGGUGGUUUGUCGCGUUGUUCGUGAAAACUCACAACUCAAUUGUGGGCGUGCGGGCGAUACGGGCAGACUGGAGUACUGCAGGGGAGACUGGAAUUCCUGGUGUAGCGGUGGAAUGCGCAGAUAUCAGGAGGAACACCGGUGGCGAAGGCGGCAUCCUGGACCGACAUUGACGCUGAUGAGCGAAAGCUAGGGGAGCAAACGGG
rnacentral:rRNA from 1 species